rnacentral:miRNA from 1 species
CUACCUGAGGGUCUCCUUCCUGCAG